CACACUCACCCCCCCUUCUUUCUCCCUCUCACUCUCCAAACCAAAUCUGAGCGGAUGUGCGCCGCAGAUGUCACGCUCCUCCUGGAUGCUUGUGUUUACCGCUAAGCGAUGACUGGUGCACGGCUGAUUUGAAGGAGGCUAACCGGCAUGGAUGCCCGUUGUCUGCAGGAGUAGCCUCCAUGGAUUGGAGCUCAUCAUCGCCGGAGCCAACCUGGGGACAGAGUGAGAGUGCUGUGCAGGAGGAUACUUCAUCCAAGAUCACAGGUCACAUGUCAGAUUUGUGCAGUGAUGAAACAGACAGCUCUCUUCCUCUCCAGCUUCACACUCUCAAGCAGUUUGAGCAG